rnacentral:rRNA from 1 species
CCUACGGGAGGCAGCAGUGAGGAAUAUUGGUCAAUGGGCGUAAGCCUGAACCAGCCAAGUCGCGUGAGGGAUGAAGGUUCUAUGGAUCGUAAACCUCUUUUAUAAGGGAAUAAAGUGCGGUACGUGUCCCUUUUUGUAUGUACCUUAUGAAUAAGGAUCGGCUAACUCCGUGCCAGCAGCCGCGGUAAUACGGAGGAUCCGGGCGUUAUCCGGAUUUAUUGGGUUUAAAGGGUGCGUAGGCGGCCUUUUAAGUCAGCGGUGAAAGUCUGUGGCUCAACCAUAGAAUUGCCGUUGAAACUGGGAGGCUUGAGUACGUGGGAGGCAGGCGGAAUGCGUGGUGUAGCGGUGAAAUGCUUAGAUAUCACGCAGAACCCCGAUUGCGAAGGCAGCCUGCCAAGCCAUGACUGACGCUGAUGCACGAAAGCGUGGGGAUCAAACAGGAUUAGAUACCCUGGUAGUC